UACGUAGGAGGCGAGCGUUGUCCGGAUUUAUUGGGCGUAAAGCGCGUGUAGGCGGCAACGCAAGUCGGGCGUGAAAUCCCACGGCUCAACCGUGGAAGUGCACUCGAAACUGCGUAGCUAGAGUCCUGGAGAGGAAGGUGGAAUGCUUGGUGUAGAGGUGAAAUUCGUAGAUAUCAAGCGGAACACCGGUGGCGAAGGCGGCCUUCUGGACAGUGACUGACGCAUGAGACG
rnacentral:rRNA from 1 species